CUGCCGCCGCGGUAAUACGUAGGUGGCGAGCGUUAUCCGGACUUACUGGGCGUAAAGGGUGUGUAGGUGGCUGCCAUAGUCGGGCGUGAAAUCCCGGGGCUUAACCUCGGGUUUGCGUUCGAUACUUGGUGGCUGGAGUGCGGGAGAGGGAAGUGGAAUUCCCGGUGUAGCGGUGAAAUGCGUAGAUAUCGGGAGGAACGCCGGUGGCGAAGGCGGCUUCCUGGCCCGUUACUGACGCUGAGGCACGAAAGCCAGGGGAGCGAACCGGAUUAGAUACCCGGGUAGUCCUGGCUGUAAACCAUGGGCGCUAGGUGUGGGUGGUGGUGAGCCAUCUGUGCCGAAGCUAACGCGUUAAGCGCCCCGCCUGGGGAGUACGGUCGCAAGGCUGAAACUUAAAGGAAUUGGCGGG
rnacentral:rRNA from 1 species